CGUUCCCACGCAGCUGCUCUGCAUCUGGGCGCCACACAACUUUCCUCAACCCUGUGCCAACUUCCAGGGCACAGCCUCUGCCGACACUCAGCAGGGUACAUUUUAUAACCCCACAGUAAAAAGCGAGACAACGGGGUCCUACCAGCGCGACUCUUGAUGACGUCGGUGAAUCCGUCUCCAGCCGCAUCUUCCCCGGUCUCCUCCGGACCCCACUGUUGAGCCAUGGCCUCACGUUAGGUGCCCCAGCUCCCCCACGUCCCAAACUUUGGCAUGCAGGUGGGUUCGCCCGAUCGACUUGAUGCUCUCCAAAGCAGUCAGAAAGGCAGAAACUUUAUGAAGAGACAAGUCAGAAGUCCCUCUUUAGAUGUAUGAGCUUCUAUAAUGAUAUUGGAAAAUUAUACAUUUUGAACAUUCAUUGAAAACUCCUGCAAUGGUUCAAGCUAUUUUGGAAAUUCUCAGUUGAAAGGUCACGUUCUCAGAGUGGCCAUCCCUGACUACAAAACUGGUUACUUCAAUAUCCCAUUUAUUUCUUUCAUGGAUGUUAUCACAGAGUCUGCUUAUAUUAUUUAUAGUUUUAUUAUAUAUUUUUCUUUCCAUUAAUUUAAAUGCCAUGUGACUAAAAAAUGUUUCCAACUUUUACUCCUGGAUUUCAAGGCUUCGCACAAUAUGCAGCAAAAAUAAUGAAGAAAUUAGUGAAUGGAUGAAUAUAAACAUAUAGACAUAUGUCACAGGAAUUUUGACAAAACAUACAUGUUAA